rnacentral:lncRNA from 1 species
CUGGGCUGCAGGAAGAGGAGGUGGCUGCCCACAGCACGGCUGCUCAAGUCACCCCCACCCCCAUGCAGCCCAUUUGGCAAGUCCCCCCCAAAAAACACCCACUGAGAAACCCGGACUGGUCAGGUGAAAUAUGGGGUAUCAACCUGCCUGGAGUAUUGUAUUACAUCCACUAAAAGUGUUUUUGAUUCACCAUUCAAUUCUGCUGACAUCCCCGGUUUAUGGUGGACAGAUUCCUGUAACGGGCAGCAGGAAUCUUGAGUUGCAGAUUUCCACCCCACUAAGGCUGAUGACAAGGAGGCAAAUAGGCCAAUGGCCUUCAGCCUUUGAUCCUGUGGAGGAGGACGGCACGUGCUUGGCAGGACUCGGAAAGCCUUCUAGCAGAAAUAACAGCUCCCAGGAGCUCCACACUGGGUCUAUCCUUCUACCUUUCAAGCUUCUUUCUCUCUUCCUUUUAAGUUGUUGUUUUAUAAUUAUUAAUUAAAGCACUGGCCAC